ensembl:lncRNA
CCUACAUAGACCAGGUGGACAUAGCCACCCAAGGCUGGUUCAUUGGCCUGAUGUGUGCCAUUGCCCUCAUCAUACUGAUCCUCCUCAUCGUCUGCUUCAUCAAGAGGAGUCGCGGGGGCAAAUACCCAGUCCGUGACAAAAAAGACCUCCCCUUGGACCCCGUAGAUCAGAAAGACCAGGACGGAUCCUUUGAUUACCAGUCCCACUGAUCUCUGUGGCGUCGUUCCUCUCAGUGAGGAAUGAGUCCAUCUGCUCUGCGUCCGUCCCACUAAAAACACGCCUCAUUUAACCUGCCUUCUAAAUCCAGCUGCACGCGUCGCGCUGUAACGCCUGUAACUAAAACGCGUCUCUUUAACCGAAGGCGCUGCGGAGUGACAAAGGGCUCCUGGGUGUUGUCAGUGACCUCUGAUCAAAGGAUAAACGCCUUCUUAUCAACGCACGUAACUUUAAGGCUCUUUAAUCCACAGCGCCGAGGAAUGUCUUAACCCCGUGUAGCUCAGUUUUGGUGUGUUUUUGUAAGUAUAGAUGAGAUGGCUGAAUAAGAGAAGAGGACGGAUCAGCAUUUAUUAUCAGCCGCUGUGCUUAAUACCGUGUGCUUCCUUUAAUCCGCAGCGUGUGAGCUGAUCAAUAAUGAGUCUAGUUGCUGUAACCGCAGUCCAAGGUCAUUGCUUUGCUCUGAUUCUGACCCAGACUCACCUUAGCUCUGUGUGUGUGUGUGUGUGUCUGUGUGUGCACGCCACGGUUUACAUGCAUGAAUCAUGUGGAGCGUGUCCUCCUCCUCUCGUUCUCUCUCUGCACCCCCCGUCUCUCUCUCUCCCCCCCCCUCCCCCUGUGUCCUCACGUCUCGUACCUCUCUCUCCCCCCCACGCUGAAAUGGGUCGUCUGUCCCUGACAGGAACGAAAACGAGAACAGGUCUCUUGAAAGGUACUGUAUGCAAUGAGAAGGGUCCUCUUCUUCUUCUUCUUCUUCUUCUUCUUCUUCUUCUUCUUCUUCUAACGUUUGCAGUGCAUUGAAAUUGUUGAAUAUCUGUUGGAGCCAUUAGACUUUGUUAACACCCUAAUGAGCAUUUCUUCACACAGUUAAUCCAAUAUUGCAUAACAUGUGAGCCAUACAAUGUAAGUAAAAUAGGCACACUCCUCAUUGUACACUGAGUCGUAUUGAACGUAUUGAUCAGCUAUGAUGUCAUCAUCACCUGAAUACACCGUUUUUAUGCCUUCUCUUGAAAUGAACACACACCUGCUGCAGUUUCGAGGCACUUGUAAAUGUUCCUUUGCUGGUUCUGUAUCCAGCUGUUGACAUCCAGCCCAAGCUGCGGAGAAAAUGCAUUAAAAAGUGGACUUCCACAAGAGACACUGACGUCUCCUUCGUCCGUUAGAUCCGUCUUUCAGCAGCCUCAGUGGACUUAAUUGUCCACUAACAAUUGUUAAGACUCAUAACCUUUACACGAUGUAGCUUUCAUUUUUAAUAUACAUCAUCACUUGCUUCGACUCGUUGUUAAAACAUCCGCGUUUAACGUAGCACCGAAUGAAUGCACAGACCUGCGCAGAGAAGACAUGUCGAACAGGAAAAGACCUCACCGCUCGCAUCCUUUGAGCGCAACUUCUGCUGUUAUGCUCACGGCUUGAUCAGAGAAAAGAAAGCUAAAGCCAAACUGUAGCUCUUUCUCCUGCGCAUGAAGUUCUCUUCCCCCUAAAAUCAGAGUCAGGAGACAUGCAGACAUGCUCUGAACUGAAAUCAAGCACCGCUCCAUGAAUGAGGUACGCCGGAGUUGUUCUGCCUGAUCUCAGGUCAGAACAUGGCAUC